rnacentral:antisense_RNA from 1 species
GUAGGAGUGAGCCUGCUCGCGAUGUCGGUGUGUCAGGCGCGGAGAUGUUGGAUGUGCUGGCCCAAUCGCGAGCAGGCUCACUCCUAC